UCGAUCAGUGAUGACUCCUGGUGGCGUAUGAAUCGUAGACGAUGAAUACAUGUGUGGAACUCUGAGGUCCAU
ensembl:snoRNA